GCUCAGUGGUUUAGACGACGGCGCCUCCCCCAUCCCUGAUAAUACUAAUAAUAAUUCAAUUUAUAUCCCAUCUUUACUCCUGAAGGGAGUGCAGGGCGGCAAACACGUCAAUAAUAAAACAUUUUGCAAAAACAGUUUUAAAAGCAUUUAAAAGUCCAAAAAACAGUUAUAUCGGCUGUGAGUCCUGGAGGUCCUGCUCCCUGCCUUGCUGGCCUUUCCCCACCUACUUGGGAGGGCGGGGCCUGACUGACUCCAACUACAAAAGCAGAGGCUGCAGAAGAGGCCAGAGACCAUCUUGGCUGCUCUUGGUGCUCCAGGUCAUGGAGCCUGAGUUUCCCAAACCACCUCCUGCCGUGAACCACCAUUGGAAGGAUCGCCAACAAAGGUGGCAGCCUCUCUGAUGAGACGCCUCGGAGCAGUUUCGGACACAGUUCGCUCGGCCUCUGCAAAGCUCACCGCCACCUCCUGGAUUAGGCCCAGCUCCUGAAAGAACAGUGAACACUUUUCCCCCUUCUUCUUCGUCACCAAAGGACAGCAAAUUCCCAAAUUGCAAACUGCAACGAAAGCUCCUACGGACAGCCUGAAAAACACUCCUCACCUGUUCUUCCUGUGUCUUGGCCUCUCCUCGCCUCAGCAGAAAAUCCUCUGCAAGAGCCACCGCCCGGCUGCAGGUCUCAGGG